UACAGAGGUCCCAAGCGUUGUUCGGAUUCACUGGGCGUAAAGGGUGCGUAGGUGGCAUGGCCAGUUUGAUGUGAAAGCUCAGGGCUUAACCCUGAAAUGGCAUUGAAUACUGCUGUGCUGGAGGUUUGGAGGGGGGACUGGAAUUCUUGGUGUAGCAGUGAAAUGCGUAGAUAUCAAGAGGAACACCAGUGGCGAAGGCGAGUCCCUGGACAACACCUGACACUGAGGCACGAAAGCGUGGGGAGCAAACAGG
rnacentral:rRNA from 1 species